UCGCCCAGAACGGAGCCCGCGUUUCCGCAGAGCUGGAACUCCUGCCUCGGGGUCUCUUCCCUCCGCCGUCACGGAACUGCCCCGGAGCCCGAGGGGAGGGAGGCCUCACUGAGGCUGCCGGCUCCGGAGGGGGCCCGGCAGCCGAAGCCGCAACAGUCGUGGGGACGGCGGGCCGGAUGAAUGCACAAAGAAGAAGUGGUCCAUGUACAGAAUGGAAUAUUCGCCAUGGAAAAGGAUGAAACACUGCUCUUUGCAGCACCAUAGAUGAGCCUAGAGAUAAUCACAGAACAUGAGAUGAAUGCACAAAGAAGAAGUGGUCCAUGUACAGAAUGGAAUAUUCACCAUGGAAAAGGAUGAAACACUGCUCUUUGCAGCACCAUAGAUGAGCCUAGAGAU